rnacentral:rRNA from 1 species
AUAUAAGUAAUGAAUAAUAGAUUUGAAAUAUUUAUUAUAUAGAUUUAAAGAAAUAAUCAUAGAAUACAUAAGUUAUUAAUAGUUAUUAGGUUACUAAUAAAUAAAUUAAUAAAUUUAUUUUAAUACCUAAGGUAAACCAUAAAAAAUUAAUUAAUAAUUUUUAUAAAUAUACUAAGUGAACUGAAACAUCUAAGUAACUUAAGGAUAAAAAAUCAACCGAGAUAUUAUGAGUAUUGGUGAGAGAAAAUAAUAUAGUUAAUAAUUUUAUUAUAAAAUUAUAUAUAUAAGUAUUAUGUAAUAUAAUUAUGUAAGAAUAUAGGACAAACUAGUUCUAAAACUAAAUACUAUUAAUAAACAAAAUAAGUACCGAAAGGGAAAGUAUGUAAGUGGUUAUUUUAUAAGUAAUCAUAGAUAUAAAUUUUAUAUUAAUGAUGUACCUUUUGUAUAAUGGGUCAGCAAGUAAUUAAUAUUAGCAAAAUAAAUAAAUUAUAAAAAAAUUGAUAAAAAUAUAGAAGUUAAUAUUAAUUGACCCGAAAGCAAAUGAUCUUACUAUGACCAGACGGUUAAACGGUCGAACAGGUUGAUGUUGCAAUAUCAUCUGAUGAGUUGUGGUAAGUAGUGAAAGACAAAUCUGAUUUGCAGAUAGCUGGUUUUCUACGAAAUAUAUGUUAGUAUAGCUUUUAUAAUAAUAAUUAUUAUAAUCCAAUGGAUUAUAAAGAACGGUACAGCAACAAAUAUAUUUAGGGGAACUAUUGUAGUUUUAUCAAAAAUAUUUGAUCUCGAAAUGUUUAAUUAACCCCUUUUUCAUAAGGAAAAGGGGGGAUUAUAAAAAGUCAGAUUAUGUGCGAUAAGGUAAAUAAUCUAAAGGGAAACAGCCCAGAUUAAUAUAUAAGGUUCCUAAUUACAUAAAAUAAUAAGUGAAAAAAAUAUUAAAAUAUUAUAAUACAAUCAGUUAAUGGAUUUGACAAUAACCAUUUUUUAAUGAACAUGUAACAAUGCACUGAUCUAUUAUAUAAUCUUUAUAGAUUAUAUACAUAUAAUAUUAUAAAUUUUUCUUAUUCAAUAAGAAAAUUAAUAAACAAUAUACGGAUCUUUUUUUUUUAUAAAAAAAAUUAUUUAACCGAAUAUUUAAAUAUUAUUAUUAAUGGUUCCAACCAACCAUUUAGUUGAGGGUGGUACGAUAGAAUAAUAAUAAUAUGGUAGUAGAACAUUUAAUGAAAAAAUAUAUUAAUUUUUAAUUAAUAUAUAAUAAAAUAUCUAAAUAUUUAUUUUCGUUCCGCACACCCUUAUAAGUGUGUGGGACGAUGGAAUAGUAAUUAAAUAGAGAAUGCUGACAUGAGUAACGAAAAAAAGGUUAAACCUUUUCACCUAAAACAUAAGGUUUUACUAUAAAAGUACGGCCCUUAAUUAAAUUAUAUAAAUAUAAUAUAAGAUAGGAUAAUUCUAAAUUAAAAACUACAUCUUUUAUUUUAUAUAAAAAAUUAUAAAAGAUCAAGAAAUAUUUUUAAUUUAUACCGUAAUGUAUACCGACUCAGGUAUGUUAGUAGAGAAUAUUAAGGUGAAUUAGAUAAUUAAAGGGAAGGAACUCGGCAAAAAUAGCUCUAACGUUAGUCAAUAAAGAGAUAAUUAAAAACAAGGUUGUACAACUGUUUAAUAAAAACACCGCACUUUGCAUAAACGAUAAGUUAACGUAUAAGGUGUGAACUCUGCUCCAUGCUUAACAUAUAAAUAAUAUUAUUUAAUGAUAAUAUUAUUAAAUUUAAGUAAAUAGCAGCCUUAUUAUGAGGGUUCUAAGGUAGCGAAAUUCAUUGUCCAAUAAUUAUGGUCCUGCAUGAAUGACGUAAUGAUACAACAACUGUCUCCCCUUUAAGCUAAGUGAAAUUAAAUUCGCAGUGAAGAUGCUGUGUACCUAUAGUGUGACGGAAAGACCCUAUGCAGCUUUACUGUAAUUAGAUAGAUCGAAUUAUUGUAUAUUAUAUUCAGAAUAUUAAGUAAUUGAUUAAAUAAAAAUGAGAUACUUAUUAUAAUAAUAUAAUAAUUCUAAUCUUAAUAUAAAAUCUCUAUUCCAUAGUCCCGACCGCCCAGCGGUCGGGACGGAACUACCCGCGCCCCACGGGGCGCGGGUGGUUCCCUUUGGGAACUAUUAUUUAUUUAUUAUAAAUAAUAUGAGUUAUUUAAUAGAUAUAAUUCUUAAAUAAAAAUAUUGUAUAUUAUAUAUAUAUUUUAUAUAUAUAUAUUUAUAUAUAAUAUAUUAAUAAGAGACAAUCUCUAAUUGGUAGUUUUGAUGGGGCGUCAUUUUCAGCAAUAAUAUCUGAAUAAGUCUAUAUAUAAAUUAUAAUAUUAUUAAAAAAAAAUAUAUAAAAAUAUAUAUUAGAUAUAUUAAUUAUAAAUAGGAAUAUAUUUCUUUAAAAAAGUAAGUUAUAUAUUUUAGUAAUAGAAAAAAUCAUGUAUAGUAAAAUUGUCUAGAAAACAAUAAUAAUAAUAUAAUUAUUUAUAUUAUAUAAUAAAAUGUAUUAAAUUAAUAUAAUGGUAUAACUAUGCAACAAUUAUAACACAAACAAGUGAAAUAAGUACGUAAGUAUGGCAUAAUGAACAAAUAACACUGAUUGUAAUGGUUAUUGAUAACGAAUAAAAGUUACGCUAGGGAUAACAGGGUAAUAUAGCGAAAGAGUAGAUAUUGUAAGCUAUGUUUGCCACCUCGAUGUCGACUCUACCUAUCCUCUUGGUUGUAAAUGCUAAGAAGGGUUUGACUGUUCGUCAAUUAAAAGGUAACGUGAGUUGGGUUAAAUACGAUGUAAAUCAGUAUGGUUCCUAUCUACUAUAGGUAAUAUUAUCAACUUAAGUCUUAUUCUUAGUACGCAAGGAUCAGAAUGAAUUAAUCCAUGGUGUAUCUAUUGAUUAUUUUAUAAUAUAUAUAUAUAUUUAUAUAUAUAUUAUCUAUAUUAAUUUAUAUUUUAUAUUAUAGUCAUAGUAGAUAAGCUAAAUUAAUAAAUAAUAAGUAUUGAAAGCAUAUAAAAUACGAAGUUGUCUUAAGAUGAGAUAAUAAUCUGAUUAUUUUAUACUAAAAUAAUAUAAAAUAUCCAUUAUAAUAUAUUAAAUUGGAUAUAUAAAUAGGUUUUUUAUAUAUAUAUAUAAUAAAAUACUAA